GACGAACGCUGGCGGCGUGCUUAACACAUGCAAGUCGAACGGUGAACUCCGCUUGCGGGGGGAUCAGUGGCGAACGGGUGAGUAACACGUGGGCAACCUGCCCUCAGCUCUGGGAUAACUCCAAGAAAUUGGGGCUAAUACCGGAUAUGACCGCUGACCGCAUGGUUUGGUGGUGGAAAGAUUUAUCGGCUGGGGAUGGGCCCGCGGCCUAUCAGCUUGUUGGUGGGGUAGUGGCCUACCAAGGCGACGACGGGUAGCCGGCCUGAGAGGGUGACCGGCCACACUGGGACUGAGACACGGCCCAGACUCCUACGGGAGGCAGCAGUGGGGAAUAUUGCGCAAUGGGCGAAAGCCUGACGCAGCGACGCCGCGUGGGGGAUGACGGCCUUCGGGUUGUAAACCUCUUUCGGCAGGGACGAAGCGAAAGUGACGGUACCUGCAGAAGAAGCACCGGCCAACUACGUG
rnacentral:rRNA from 1 species